GACAGAGGCCUCAAGCGUUUAGGCGGAAUCACUGGGCUUAAAGCGUGUGUAGGCGGAUCGUUAAGUGUCUUGUGAAAUCCCACGGCUCACCCGUGGAACUGCUGGGCAUACUGGCGAUCUUGGGCCAACUAGGGGCAACUGGAACAAGCGGUGGAGCGGUGAAAUGCGUAGAUAUCAUCUGGAACGCCAAUGGUGAAAACAGCUCGCUGGGGGUGUGCAGACGCUGAGACACGAAAGCCAGGGGAGCGAACGGG
rnacentral:rRNA from 1 species